UGGGGAAUUUUGGACAAUGGGCGAAAGCCUGAUCCAGCAAUGCCGCGUGUGUGAAGAAGGCCUUCGGGUUGUAAAGCACUUUUGUCCGGAAAGAAAUCCUUGGCUCUAAUACAGUCGGGGGAUGACGGUACCGGAAGAAUAAGCACCGGCUAACUACGUGCCAGCAGCCGCGGUAAUACGUAGGGUGCAAGCGUUAAUCGGAAUUACUGGGCGUAAAGCGUGCGCAGGCGGUUUGCUAAGACCGAUGUGAAAUCCCCGGGCUCAACCUGGGAACUGCAUUGGUGACUGGCAGGCUAGAGUAUGGCAGAGGGGGGUAGAAUUCCACGUGUAGCAGUGAAAUGCGUAGAGAUGUGGAGGAAUACCGAUGGCGAAGGCAGCCCCCCUGGGCCAAUACUGACGCUCAUGCACGAAAGCGUGGGGAGCAAACAGGAUUAGAUACCCUGGUAGUCCACGCCCUAAACGAUGUCAACUAGUUGUUGGGGAUUCAUUUCCUAGUAACGUAGCUAACGCGUGAAGUUGACCGCCUGGGGAGUACGGUCGCAAGAUUAAAACUUAAAGGAAUUGACGGGGUCAUAGCUGUUUCCU
rnacentral:rRNA from 1 species